rnacentral:rRNA from 1 species
GAUGAACGCUGACAGAAUGCUUAACACAUGCAAGUCGAUUCAAGUUACCUUCGGGUAAUGAGGAUGGCGGACGGGUGAGUAACGCGUAAGGAACUUGCCUCUUGGUCUGGGACAACUGUUGGAAACGACAGCUAAUACCGGAUAUUAUGAGAUUCUCGCAUGGGAAACUUAUGAAAGCUAUAUGCGCCAAGAGAGAGCCUUGCGUUCCAUUAGCUAGUUGGUGGGGUAAUGGCCCACCAAGGCGACGAUGGAUAGCCGGCCUGAGAGGGUGAACGGCCACAAGGGGACUGAGACACGGCCCUUACUCCUACGGGAGGCAGCAGUGGGGAAUAUUGGACAAUGGGCCACAAGCCUGAUCCAGCAAUUCUGUGUGCACGAUGAAGGUCUUCGGAUUGUAAAGUGCUUUCAGUUGGGAAGAAGAAAGUGACGGUACCAACAGAAGAAGCGACGGCUAAAUACGUGCCAGCAGCCGCGGUAAUACGUAUGUCGCAAGCGUUAUCCGGAUUUAUUGGGCGUAAAGCGCGUCUAGGCGGAAAAAUAAGUCUGAUGUUAAAAUGCGGGGCUCAACUCCGUAUUGCGUUGGAAACUGUUUUUCUAGAGUACUGGAGAGGUGGNNGGAACUACAAGUGUAGAGGUGAAAUUCGUAGAUAUUUGUAGGAAUGCCGAUGGAGAAGUCAGCUCACUGGACAGAUACUGACGCUGAAGCGCGAAAGCGUGGGGGAGCAA